GACCCUCCAUGGCUCAGUGGUAGAGCAUCUGCUUUGAAUGCAGAAAGUCCCAGGUUCAAUUUCUGCCAUUUCCA
rnacentral:tRNA from 1 species